UGGGGAAUAUUGGACAAUGGGGGGAACCCUGAUCCAGCCAUGCCGCGUGUGUGAAGAAGGCCUUAUGGUUGUAAAGCACUUUAAGCGAGGAGGAGGGUACUGGUAUUAGUACUACCAGGUACUGGACGUUACUCGCAGAAUAAGCACCGGCUAACUCUGUGCCAGCAGCCGCGGUAAUACAGAGGGUGCGAGCGUUAAUCGGAUUUACUGGGCGUAAAGCGUGCGUAGGCGGCUAAUUGAGUCGGAUGUGAAAUCCCCGAGCUUAACUUUGGGAUUGCAUUCGAUACUGGUUAGCUAGAGUGUGGGAGAGGAUGGUAGAAUUCCGGGUGUAGCGGUGAAAUGCGUAGAGAUCUGGAGGAAUACCGAUGGCGAAGGCAGCCAUCUGGCCUAUCACUGACGCUGAGGUACGAAAGCAUGGGGAGCAAACAGG
rnacentral:rRNA from 1 species